AUUGAACGCUGGCGGCAGGCUUAACACAUGCAAGUCGAGCGGAGAGAGGUAGCUUGCUACUGAUCUUAGCGGCGGACGGGUGAGUAAUGCUUAGGAAUCUGCCUAUUAGUGGGGGACAACAUUUCGAAAGGAAUGCUAAUACCGCAUACGUCCUACGGGAGAAAGCAGGGGAUCUUCGGAACUUGCGCUAAUAGAUGAGCCUAAGUCGGAUUAGCUAGUUGGUGGGGUAAAGGCCUACCAAGGCGACGAUCUGUAGCGGGUCUGAGAGGAUGAUCCGCCACACUGGGACUGAGACACGGCCCAGACUCCUACGGGAGGCAGCAGUGGGGAAUAUUGGACAAUGGGCGGAAGCCUGAUCCAGCCAUGCCGCGUGUGUGAAGAAGGCCUUAUGGUUGUAAAGCACUUUAAGCGAGGAGGAGGCUACUUGAGUUAAUACCUAGAGAUAGUGGACGUUACUCGCAGAAUAAGCACCGGCUAACUCUGUGCCAGCCGCCGCAGUAAAAC
rnacentral:rRNA from 1 species